rnacentral:rRNA from 1 species
GACGAACGCUGGCGGCGUGCCUAAUACAUGCAAGUCGAACGAACCGCGACUGAGUGCUUGCACUUGGUCAAGGUGAGUGGCGAACGGGUGAGUAACACGUGGGUAACCUACCUCAUAGUGGGGGAUAACAGUCGGAAACGACUGCUAAUACCGCAUAGGACAUAGGAUCACAUGAUCCAGUGAGGAAAUGUGGCGCAAGCUAUCGCUAAGAGAUGGACCCGCGGUGCAUUAGCUAGUUGGUAGGGUAAAGGCCUACCAAGGCGAUGAUGCAUAGCCGACCUGAGAGGGUGAUCGGCCACAUUGGGACUGAGACACGGCCCAAACUCCUACGGGAGGCAGCAGUAGGGAAUCUUCCGCAAUGGACGCAAGUCUGACGGAGCAACGCCGCGUGAGUGAAGAAGGUCUUCGGAUCGUAAAGCUCUGUUGUUAGAGAAGAACAGCGCAUAGAGUAACUGCUAUGCGUGUGACGGUAGCUAACCAGAAAGCCACGGCUAACUACGUG